UACGAAGGGGGCUAGCGUUGCUCGGAAUCACUGGGCGUAAAGCGCACGUAGGCGGCUUUUUAAGUCAGGGGUGAAAUCCUGGAGCUCAACUCCAGAACUGCCUUUGAUACUGAGAAGCUUGAGUCCGGGAGAGGUGAGUGGAAUUCCCAGUGUAGCGGUGAAAUGCGUAGAUAUUGGGAGGAACACCAGUGGCGAAGGCGGCUCACUGGACCGGAACUGACGCUGAGGCGCGAAAGCGUGGGGAGCAAACAGG
rnacentral:rRNA from 1 species